rnacentral:rRNA from 1 species
UCGGGUUGUAAAGCACUUUUGUCCGGAAAGAAAACAUCCUGGCUAAUACCUGGGGUGGAUGACGGUACCGGAAGAAUAAGCACCGGCUAACUACGUGCCAGCAGCGCGGUAAUCGUAGGGUGCGAGCGUUAAUCGGAAUUACUGGGCGUAAAGCGUGCGCAGGCGGUUCGCUAAGACCGAUGUGAAAUCCCCGGGCUUAACCUGGGAACUGCAUUGGUGACUGGCGGGCUAGAGUAUGGCAGAGGGGGGUAGAAUUCCACGUGUAGCAGUGAAAUGCGUAGAGAUGUGGAGGAAUACCGAUGGCGAAGGCAGCCCCCUGGGCCAAUACUGACGCUCAUGCACGAAAGCGUGGGGAGCAAACAGGAUUAGAUACCCUGGUAGUCCACGCCCUAAACGAUGUCAACUAGUUGUUGGGGAUUCAUUUCCUUAGUAACGUAGCUAACGCGUGAAGUUGACCGCCUGGGGAGUACGGUCGCAAGAUUAAAACUCAAAGGAAUUGACGGGGACCCGCACAAGCGGUGGAUGAUGUGGAUUAAUUCGAUGCAACGCGAAAAACCUUACCUACCCUUGACAUGGACGGAAUCCUGGUG